rnacentral:rRNA from 1 species
CACGUAUUUAGCCGGAGCUUCUUACUCAGGUACCGUCAUUUUCUUCCCUGCUGAUAGAGCUUUACAUACCGAAAUACUUCUUCGCUCACGCGGCGUCGCUGCAUCAGGGUUUCCCCCAUUGUGCAAUAUUCCCCACUGCUGCCUCCCGUGGGAGUCUGGGCCGUGUCUCAGUCCCAAUGUGGCCGUCCACCCUCUCAGGCCGGCUACUGAUCGUCGCCUUGGUGGGCCGUUGCCCCGCCAACAAGCUAAUCAGACGCGGGCCCAUCCUGCACCGCCAAAGCUUUUCGCACCGCUUCAUGCGAAGCUGUGCGCUUAUGCGGUAUUAGCAGCCGUUUCCGGCUGUUGUCCCCCUGUGCAGGGCAGGUUGCCCACGCGUUACUCACCCGUCCGCCACUCAGUCGCCCGGCCUUCCUCUCCGAAGAGACUCCGUCCGAGCGCUUCGUUCGACUUGCAUGUGUUAGGCACGCCGCCAGCGUUCAUCCUGAGCCAGGA